CAUCUCGCUGUUUUUCUCGCUAGCUACUCGCCUCCGCGAGGAAAACCCUGACGCGGGGAAAAUGUAACAAGUUUUCUCGCCCACGAGAUUUUGACCUCAGGGACGAGAACCGAACACCUGGCGACGUCGCCGACACAGCGAACACGAAGUGUGGCCGGCGACACCCGAGAUGCAGCAUGGCGAGCAUGGCGAGCAUGGCGAGCAUGGCAAGCAUGGCGCCCUGCGUGGCCGUAGCCCGACACGCGCGCACCGCCGCCGCGCAUGCUGAUAGCACCGGCGGCAUUGACCGGCUCCUUCCGGCAUCACCGUGAGGCCAGCGCUCGGGCGUCGAGCCAGGGGCCCUUCGAGGUCAACGUUGCCCGGUGAAGACCGACUUCACUCUUUUCUUGAGGGCUUGGCGCGUUGUACUAAUACUGUUGU